rnacentral:lncRNA from 1 species
UCCUACCCUAUAUGUAUUUAUCUAUCUUUUUGCUAUUGUCAUAUGUUUUUUUUAUCAAGACAGCUAUAUUUUCGCGGGGUUUGCGAGAAUCUCGCUGGUCUUUGUGGCUGGGAUUCUUCAGAUGUGGAGAUACUACAUAAUUGUAGCUAGAGUAGGAGUCUUUUUAUUUGUCCUAAGAUGGUUAAAAAUGGAUGAGAAGGUGAUAAGUUAUUUGAAGUUGCACAUAAAGGAGAUGAGGUGUUGGUAAGAAAGAAGAGCUAUCACGAUACUGUGUUUCUGGUUAUGUCCGAUUUAUAAUCCCACAUGUCAUCGUUUCUAUAAUUGAUAUUUAGCUUAAAUAUCAAAUACGAGAGUGAAGGGUGCCUAACAAUUAACUAAAA